rnacentral:rRNA from 1 species
AUUGAACGCUGGCGGCAGGCCUAACACAUGCAAGUCGAGCGGAGCGGCGGACGGGUGAGUAAUGCCUAGGAAUCUGCCUGGUAGUUGGGGAUAACGUCCGGAAACGGGCGCUAAUACCGCAUACUAUCAGAUGAGCCUAUGUCGGUUUGGCUAGUUGGUGGGGUAAAGGGCUACUAAGGCGACGAUCCGUAACUGGUCUGAGAGGAUUAACAGUCACACUGGAAAUGCGAGACGGUCCAGACUCCUACGGGAGUGAGCAGUGGGGAAUAUUGGACAAUGGGCGAAAGCCUGAUCCAGCCAUGCCGCGUGUGUGAAGAAGGUCUUCGGAGUGUGAAGCACUUUAAGUUGGGAGGCGUUACCAACAAAAUAAGCACCGGCUAACGUCGUGCCAGCAGCCGCGGUAAUUC